GACGCACAAAUCCCAAGCGGAGUCGUCGGGACAGUUGGAGAACUUUUUCAGGCGUGACCAGAGUCAAGUAUUGGCAAUUGAAUCAGAUACUCGAGUGAGAGGAAACUAGGCUGGAUGCAAAUGGGCUUUUUUCAUGGGUAGUUUGGAGCGAUGAACUCUUUUGUUUUCCAUCUCCUGUUUCUGCAAUUUGUGUCUUAUCUCCCCAGGGUAGAGCUGAGAACUGGUGAGAUCAUACUUGGCUCAACUCCCGAAAGUUUGUUUUGAGUCGCCAGUGUAAAUAUUGCCCACCCAAUCUGUACAUUUGCACAAAUUAACUGAAACCAGCUACCCAAUUCCUUGUUCAUAUUUGGAUCUGUUGAUUAACCCUGACAGCUGUAACCUCAUUAGUCCAAGCUCUGGCCAUAGCAAAGCAGCUGUCAAAUUAGGAGGAAGUCGACUCACUGAAGUUGCCUCUAUGGACCAGACGUAUUAAAAUCGAUAGGUGCUCUAAGAGGUUUCAGUUAUGAUUCUAAUUCUAAUUUAUGUUGUGCAGCGGGCUUCUCCUCGAUCCAGAAGAUAGGCCCAAAGUCAGUUGUUUACGAAGAGAACAGAAGCUCUCACACAAAGCAAGAACGCAGAUUUUUUUACCUGAAGACUUUGGAUCUGUCUCCGUCGAAAAUGGGUCUUUAGCACGCAUUACAACAGAGACGUUUUAAUAUAUUUUAAAAUAUUAGUUCCUAAUGUAGUUUUUGGCGUGAGAGAUUUUGUUAGUUUUGACAAGAGGCCAACAGGGUCUUGACUGUAGAAAUAAGAAAAAUCCUGCAGCUGGUGCUCCCUGGAAAAGCAGAGAUAAAAAGUGAGAAAAGAAUCAGAACACACUCCAAUAGGAAUGUGGUUUCCCUAAAUAGAACACAAAGUCCUCGGAGUGAAGCCUGUUCUCUUCCGUAAGAAUGUCUCAGGAAGGGGGACGGAGGGAAAAUGUGCAGUGUCUAUUCAUUAAAACCGGGAGGUUCGGGGACAGAGAUGACUUGUCCAUUCACCAGUGUUAAGAAGGACAACAGGGCCAGGUCAAACGCGGCGUGCGACCUUUCCCUGCAGGAUUUUCACUCUGUGGAGACAGCAUGGCGGCGUGGAAGAAGCUGUGAAGGAAAAACCUGGAGACCUCUGUUCUAGUUCCUGCUCUGCCAGACCCCGCCAUCAGGGCUUUGGAUAAGUCCUCGACUCCCUCUGUGGAUCUCAGUUAUAAAUGCCCUUCAGCCUACUAUGCGAACUGGUGCUGUCCUUUGGCACCCCCUGCUGGUGUCUACGGCUGUUGCACGUGCCUUCACCGGGAGGUCCUUGAAGAUACGAAGGCUGCGAGUGGCAACCCACCCGGAGAGGCCAGACUGCUGUUCUCCAGGGAAGAAAGCAAACCAAACACUCACUGUUGUUACAUCACAACUUUUAACACACUGCUUUUUAGAGACUUAACUGAGCAUGCGGAUUGUUUUUUUUCAAGCUGCAUUGAUCGGACACUUUAUUGGCAUAAACACUAUAAAUGCUUAGCCUGCUUCAGGUUGAAGAUUUACAAAAUAGCAAGGACUUCUACAUUAUUGUGGGGAAAUAAGACAUAAUAUAGGAAGUAUUCAGGUAUUUGUUAGAAGUGUUUCCUUUGCACAUGAUUAAUUAAAAUUACCAGAGAUAUUAGAUAACCUAUCCCCUGAUGGUACCUUCCCUAAAUGUACAUUGAGAUAAUAAGAAAGCACUAAAAGUUUAUGGAGCCUUUCUUUUCGUGUAAAAAAUCGUUUACAGAGAAUGCUCUGAAAGUCAAAAGUCAGUUAAUGUGAAAAAGUCGAGAAAAUGAUUUUUUUUGUUGUUAUUGAAUGGCAGGUAAAUAUAUUUUAAGAAUUGUGAGUCAUUAGAAAUCAGAUUCUACCCUCAGUCACGAUAACUUCCAUCGAAGCUAACAAUUACAGUGUAUUUGCCCUGAUCGCGUCAGUCCCACUCUUUUUACUUAGAAUUCUAUUCUGUUCCUUUCACUUUGAAGCUUAGUAAGAAAUCGUCUUUGGGUAUAAAAGCAAGCACAACAUUUUAAACUGAAGUGUCAAAAAUUGUGACUAUUCAAAGAAAUCAGGCAAAUCCAGUGUAAAGGAGAAAUGGAAAACCUCACAAAACUUCAAUUACUCUAAACGACGUUGCCUAUAUUGACACUAUCGUGUGUUAAUACUAAGUACUUUCGAGCCUAAUUCAUCUCCGUGUACUUAGCUUGAUAUGAUUAUAGCAACAAUAACUGUUUCCAGGCAGAGUAAGAAGAAGGAAAAGUCACAGGAGAGAGAGAAGUCAAUAUUCCCUAAAGGAGAAAAACAUUUCUCUGCCAUGUUUACUUGCCUCCUUCUGGCAAAAGGCUGUUAGCCGUUGUGCCACACAGUCCAACCAGAGCUUGCCUCCAGAACAAAAUAUAUAUAUGCAUAAUUGCAUCUCAGAGACUUGGUUUGGAAAAUCUGCUUUUGUUUCCAAUGCCUCGCCUCUUCUUAACCACGUUUAUAAGCAUUUUCCAAGCUUUUUACGAGCAUUUUGCCUGCCUCUCCACACUCCUAAAUAUCACCCUCUGCUCCUUACGGCCAGCCACGUUUUCAGCCUUGGCCAAGGAAUAAAACGUUGGUUCACCUCAAAGGCUGCCAUUAAAUUUACCUCAUUUAUUGACCAGCAGGAGGUGCACCCACCCUACCGAGGUCAAUGUUAACUAUAAUACUGCGGAGCUCAUUGGCGCCCCAGACUGCUACCCUGUUUAAUGACUGUCGGGCCCCGCGGGCCAGGUAAAUUCUACUGUUGACAUAUUGGUGGCAAUGCCCUUGGAACACCUUUGAUCCAUUAACAUGCGCUCUCCGUUCAGGGAUGUAUUUUACUGUGUGUUGAAUAAAAAUAACCAGAUAUGGAGAAGUGACGGAAGCAAAGUGAGCUCCUACUGGAAGAAUAAGCCAUUUAUACUUCUCUGCAGUAGAUACCAGGGCUUAUUAGGACAUCAAAUUUCAGGAAAAUCAGGCCUGGAGAACUCCGCCGUCUGGAUAGUACUAUCCCAUAGGUCCUCUGUUGCCCUUGAGGUGGGUAGUAGUAAACCGGCCAUGAACCUGCCAGCUCACUGAAAGGCAUACCAGGCAAUGAUCCCUUCCGUGUUCCCGUUUUACCCUGCAGAGUUGCCUCUCUCAGGCCUGGCCUGCAGUGACCAGGUUGGAUGGUCAGGGCUCCCAGUCUGAAUGCUGACUCAGGCCUUCUCUCUCCGCUGCCAAUAAUAGUUCGCUUUGUGCCAAAUUUAGUGGUGGUUUCUUAUGAUGUGGAUACCUGUCCAGCCGGGAUUGGACUGUGACCGCAAGCCAUUUUCCUUAAGCCACAGAAUAACUGUCGGAGGGUAACUGCUGAUCGUUACUACUUGCCAGGCUCAGCCGCCUCCAAGUGAGACACUUACACAUCCCAUGGUGGUUUCACCGAGAAGUCCUCUCCCACAAAGAAGCAAAUGUUAUCAGAGCACACUUCUACACCCCCAAGCCGGACCCCCAGGCUUCAAAUGAUAGGAAAGAAACAACCAGGAGCAUCACUAUUAAGGACCAACUGUGAACCAAGAGAUUGGCGAGCAGCGUGACAAUGACAGGAACCUGAGAGAAAGAGGGUGUGGAUGUGAUCCUAGACCACUGGAAAGCACACAGUGGGUGGGUCUAGAAGGAAGUUAGGGAGAAAGCUUUCAAAUAUUUCCAAGAUAACAGGGUCAUUAUCCUAGCAUAAGCCUCCAGAAGCUAAAGUUAGGACAAAAACGUGUUGCUAAAAAUAAGUCCAGUCCAGGGAGCCCCCAAUAAAGUCAGCUUUACCAACGAAUACAGGAAAGAUGGAAGAAAGACUUUUAGCAGAGACAAAUAAUAAAUGUUUAAAGCCUUGUUCUGAAAAUGUGGGGAAGGAUAGUACUAAGAGUUUCUAUGUUUAAGAAGGGAUUUUAGUUAGUAUAAACAAAUUAUAAAAGCAAUCCAUUUAUUUGCUUGAGGUAAUGUUGAAAUGUUGGCAAAAGACUGAGCAAUGAGAACUCGUCCACUUUCUGAAAACAAGAGUGAUCUUGGAGCUAAA